GACGAACGCUGGCGGCGUGCCUAAUACAUGCAAGUCGAACGCACAGUUUAUACCGUAGCUUGCUACACCAUAGACUGUGAGUUGCGAACGGGUGAGUAACGCGUAGGUAACCUGCCUGGUAGCGGGGGAUAACUAUUGGAAACGAUAGCUAAUACCGCAUAAUAUUAAUUAUUGCAUGAUAAUUAAUUGAAAGGUGCAAUUGCACCACUACCAGAUGGACCUGCGUUGUAUUAGUUAGUAGGUGAGGUAACGGCUCACCUAGGCGGCGAUACAUAGCCGACCGGAGAUGGUGAGCGGCCAGACUGGGACGGAGACACGGCCCAGAGUCCUACGGGAGGCAGCAGGAGGGAAUCUUCGGCAAGGGGCGAGAGUCUGACCGAGCUACGCCGCGGGAGGAAAGAAGGGUUUCGGGUCGGAAAGCUCUGUUGUAGGGGAAGAACGGGUGUGAGAGUGGAAAGUUCACACUGUGACGGUAACUUACCAGAAAGGGACGGCUAACUACGUG
rnacentral:rRNA from 1 species